CCUACGGGAGGCAGCAGUGGGGGAUAUUGCACAAUGGGGGAAACCCUGAUGCAGCAACGCCGCGUGGGUGAAGGAGGGUUUCGGCUCGUAAAGCCCUAUUGGCAGGGAAGAGGGAGGACGGUACCUGCCGAGGAAGCCCCGGCUAACUACGUGCCAGCAGCCGCGGUAAUACGUAGGGGGCAAGCGUUGUCCGGAAUUACUGGGCGUAAAGGGGGCGCAGACGGCAGCGCAAGUCAUAUGUUAAAUACAGGGGCUCAACCCGUAGAAUGCAUAUAAAACUGUGCGACUGGAGUGCAGGAGGGGCAAGUGGAAUUCCUGGUGUAGCGGUGAAAUGCGUAGAGAUUAGGAGGAACACCAGUGGCGAAGGCGGCCUGCUGGACUGCGACUGACGUUGAGGCCCGAGAGCGUGGGGAGCAAACAGGAUUAGAUACCCCAGUAGUC
rnacentral:rRNA from 1 species